UUAUGUAUAAAGAAAAACUGUCCAAUUGGUAUGCUAGAUCAUGCGCACUGACAAUGGUGAUCAAGGUCAAGUCAAAGUCAGCCAACUCCCAACGAAAUUGGAUGGAAGUUUACAGGCCUAAUGAUAGUCAGCAAAAACAAUCACCAUCAAGGAAAUUUGAAGCAAAAAACAGAAAGAAAAGACGCUCAACCAACUAACUUUUGACUCUACGUUGUUAUUACCCUAUUUCAUACGUAAAGAUUGUCUUGAAACCUUGCCAGGGAGGUUAUAAAUAGGCCACCAAAGCUGAGGAGACUGCAUUCAGAAAUGGAAAGUAGAAAGGGAAAUAGGUCAGUUGCCAUGAGCUUUUUUACCACAGCUAAUUUUGUUGUCCUUCUCAUCAUCUCUCUCGCAUUCCUACCGGAGAUCAGUGCAAGACGAUAUAACCCACCCCCAGUAAGGCCUCCUCCACCAGCAUCGCCUCCUACUUCCCAUAAAUCUCUGCCACCUCACCAACACAAUACCCUGCCACCAACACCAAAGGAAUAUAAACAAUAUGGGGGACGAGGCAUGUAUUAUCUACCUCCUAAUCGCGACUAGAAAAUUAUCAUGGUGCUAGCCAGCUAGGAAAUGUAACACUAUAAGGCUUGCCAAAUAAAAAGCAGCUUCACCUUGUACCAUGUAUUAGAAGAAAGAGUUGGGUGGAGAAGAUCUUUCUUAGGCCAAUCAUGUUGGUGUGAAGAAAAUUAUCUCUUUAUACGCUAUGUAUACUAUUAAGUAAUCCACAAAUAAAGCUACUCAAACAAUUCACAAGGCACUGCUAAGUUGAGUUUAAAAGAAGGAACAUUAUUUCGUUUGAUUUUGGUGAUAUUGCAUUUGAUUUUCGUCCUUGAGGGCUGCCAUUAAUUGUUUGACAAAUGAAUGAUUGACUUCCAGAAAUAACACAACAAUUGUCCAGCACACGUAUCCUUGUAAUGAUUGUUCCAAAAUUUGAUCAAUGGAGUAUAUGUAAGGGUUCAUUAUUGUU